GUCCUCUCGAAAAAAUAUGAGGUCCAAUCUGCUCACUGAUUUAUUAAAGAGCCGCAGUAUAUUGACUGUGCAAAGGUAGCAUAAUCAAUAGUUUUUUAAUUGAAAACUUGUAUGAAAGAUUAGACAAAAGAUUAAUUUUCUUUAUUUUAACAAAUUGAAAUUUAAUUUUAAGUGAAAAUGCUUAAAUAUAUUUAAAAGACGAGAAGACCCUAUAGAUUUUUAUUGUUUAAAUAAUUACAAAACAAGUUUUUAGUAAAACAAUUUGAUUGGGGCGAUAUUGUAAAAUGACAAUCUUAAAGUUAUGAAACCAAAAAUAAUUGAAUUUUUUGAUCUGAAAAUUUUAAAGAAAAGAUUAAAUUACCUUAGGGAUAACAGCGUAAUUUUAUUUAAGAGUUCAUAUCUAUGAUAAAGUUUGCGACCUCGAUGUUGAAUUAAGAUUAUAUAUUGGAGCAGAAAUUAAUAAAAUUAGUCUGUUCGACUGUUAAAUUCU
rnacentral:rRNA from 1 species